rnacentral:rRNA from 1 species
AGGACUAACGCUGGCGGAGUGCCUAACACAUGCAAGUCGAACGAGAGUAGCAAUACUCUAGCGGCGAACGGGUGAGUAACACGUGGGUAAUCAACCCCUGGCACCGGGAUAGCCCGAGGAAACUCGGAUUAAUACCGGAUGGCCCAACAGCUCUUCGGGGCGGUUGGAAAAGGUAGCUUCGGCCUCCGGCCAAGGACGAGCCCGCGGCGGAUUAGCUUGUUGGUGAGGUAACGGCCCACAAGGCGACGACGGGUAGCCGGCCUGAGAGGGCGAUCGGCCACACUGGGACUGAGACACGGCCCAGACUCCUACGGGAGGCAGCAGUGGGGAAUAUUGCACAAUGGGCGCAAGCCUGAUGCAGCGACGCCGCGUGGGGGAUGAAGGCCUUCGGGUUGUAAACCCCUUUCACCAGGAGCGAAUUCAGACGGUACCUGGGGAAGAAGCGCCGGCUAACUACGUGCCAGCAGCCGC